UAGUAAAGAAGCAAAUAUGAGUUAUGAUCCAGAUCAAAUAUUUUGUAUAAAAAAAUUAUAUGAAAGUGGAUGAUAUUCGUGGAUUAGAAUAAAUAGAUCUUUUUGAAUGAAAUGAGCUAUAUGUUUAUUUACGAUGUAAAAUUUAUCUGUUCAUCGCUAUCACUAUUACCAGUGAUAUCAAUGAAGCUUUUUGAUAGAGUGUCUGUCUUAAGCUACAUAAA
rnacentral:lncRNA from 1 species